CACGGGGGGAGCAAGCGUUGUUCGGAAUCACUGGGCGUAAAGGGCGUGUAGGCGGUUGAGUAAGUGGAAUGUGAAAUCCCUCGGCUUACCCGAGGACCGGCAUCCCAAACUGCUCGACUUGAGUACGGGAGAGGAUGAGGGAAUUCCUGGUGUAGCGGUGAAAUGCGUAGAUAUCAGGAGGAACACCGGUGGCGAAGGCGCUCAUCUGGCCCGAUACUGACGCUGAGGCGCGAAAGCUAGGGGAGCGAACGGG
rnacentral:rRNA from 1 species